UAGACGGGGGGAACCUGACCGCAAUGCCGCGUGAGUGAAGAAGGCCUUCGGGUUGUAAAGCUCUUUUGUCAGGGAAGAAACACCGGCUCUAACACAGUCCGGGAAUGACGGUACCUGAAGAAUAAGCACCGGCUAACUACGUGCCAGCAGCCGCGGUAAUACGUAGGGUGCAAGCGUUAAUCGGAAUUACUGGGCGUAAAGCGUGCGCAGGCGGUUAUACAAGACAGGCGUGAAAUCCCCGGGCUUAACCUGGGAAUGGCGCCUGUGACUGUAUAGCUAGAGUGUGUCAGAGGGGGGUAGAAUUCCACGUGUAGCAGUGAAAUGCGUAGAUAUGUGGAGGAAUACCAAUGGCGAAGGCAGCCCCCUGGGAUAACACUGACGCUCAUGCACGAAA
rnacentral:rRNA from 1 species